UACGUAGGGGGCUAGCGUUGUCCGAAGUUACUGGGCGUAAAGCGCGUGUAGGCGGCGGCGUUAGUCGGAUGUGAAAUCCCUCAGCUCAACUGAGGAAGUGCAUUCGAUACUGCGUCGCUUGAAUGUCGGAGGGGAUGGCGGAAUUCCCGGUGUAGAGGUGAAAUUCGUAGAUAUCGGGAGGAACACCUGUGGCGAAGGCGGCCAUCUGGACGACGAUUGACGCUGAGACGCGAAAGCGUGGGUAGCAAACAGG
rnacentral:rRNA from 1 species